rnacentral:rRNA from 1 species
GACGAACCGUGCGAACGUUGUUCGGAAUCACUGGGCUUAAAGCGCGUGUAGGCUGCUUCGCAAGUCGGAUGUGAAAGCCCUGGGCUCAACCCAGGAAGUGCAUUCGAAACUGCAGAGCUGGAGUCCUGGAGAGGAAGGCGGAAUUCUCGGUGUAGAGGUGAAAUUCGUAGAUAUCGAGAGGAACACCGGUGGCGAAGGCGGCCUUCUGGACAGUGACUGACACUGAGACGCGAAAGCGUGGGGAGCAAACCGG